rnacentral:rRNA from 1 species
AUAUCAGUCAUGCAUAGCAUAUCAAUAAGCGGAGGAAAAGAAACUAACAAGGAUUCCCUUAGUAACGGCGAGUGAAGCGGGAAGAGCUCAAAUUUGAAAUCUUCAAGGUUUUACCUUGACGAAUUGUAGUUUAAAGAAGUGUUUUCUGUUGAAGUUUUGGUAAAAGUUCUUUGGAAUAGGACAUCAUAGAGGGUGAGAAUCCCGUAUUUGACCAUUACUUUCAGCUUUGUGAUACACUUUCAAAGAGUCGGAUUGUUUGGGAAUGCAGUCCAAAAUGGGUGGUAAAUUUCAUCUAAAGCUAAAUAUUGGCGAGAGACCGAUAGCGAACAAGUACCGUGAGGGAAAGAUGAAAAGAACUUUGAAAAGAGAGUUAAACAGUACGUGAAAUUGUCAAAAGGGAAGCGUUUGACACCAGUGUUGUUUUCUCGAAAGUCAAUUAAAAAGAGUUGGAUUUUGUGUUGUAUUGACUUUAUCAGCUUUCUUCACUCUUUUCCAGCUUUUUUUAAUGCACUUUUCGUUUAACAAGUCAACAUCAGUUUCUUUUGUUGUAAAAAGGUCAUUGGAAGGUGGCUUUCUCUUCGGAGAAAGUGUUUAUAGCCUUUGACUCAUGCAAUCGGAGAGACUGAGGUCUGCAGCGUAGAUCCUUCGGGGUUAGAUACAUUUGUGCUAAGUUAUAGCUUUUCAUAGACAACUUGUUGACUAUGUUUAGUCUUGUAGCUUACUCGCUUAUGCUAUUUUACCUACGCUUAGGAUGUUGAACUCUAUCACACACAG